UUUCCGCCAGAGAACUACCAGUGAAAAGCUUGAAACUCAAAGGACUUGACGGUGUCCCAUAUCGACCUAGAGGAGCCUGUCCUAUAAUCGAUACCCCCCGUUCCACCCGACCUUAACUAGUAAAAUUUCAGCCUAUAUACCGCCGUCGACAGUUUACCCUAUGAAGGUCCAACAGUAGACACAACAGCCUCCCCCGCUAACACGUCAGGUCAAGGUGUAGCAAAUGUUAAGGAAGAGAUUGGCUACAUUUUUUAGAAUAAAAAACACGAAAAGCACUAUGAAACCCUGCAUGAAGGUGAAUUUAGUAGUAAAAUAGAUUAGAGUGUCUAUUUUAACAACGCUCUGGGACGCGUACACACCGCCC
rnacentral:rRNA from 1 species